GGCGAGUUCCUGCUGCGGCGUUUCAUUCAUAACAGUAUAAAGCAAUGGCCAAGCAGUGAGAGAAAUGCCUUUGGCUGGAUGUUCAUCUCCAACACAGUGUUUUUUGUUACCUGGGCACAGCAGUGCACCAAAAUCCCAGGAGAGUGGCUGUUUCUGAGGUGCUGGGACCAGCAGGUGUUCUGCUGACCAAGUUGCAAGUAGUGAAGUAGCGACCGACCCAACUUGCAGUCACCGUUGGACUUGCCUUUGAAUUAUUAACUGAUCAGGGGAGGAGAAGAGCUUCAGCGUGACCUACAGAUCAAACACAGCCAGGGGUUAGGAAGGCCAUUAAGUAGUUUUCGCCCUGAUCCCCUCCCCAAGAAUGAAACGAGGAUUAAUGGAAAAGAGGAUGCAGCAGUAGGAGCCCUCUUACACCAAGUCGUCUCGGUCCCUCCCUGAGUGCAGGCCGGCAUUAAUCAGAGGGCCCAGACCUAAUCUGCUCCGCUGUUUACCGGCCCUGUUUUGUGUUCCAUUGAAAUCAUGAUAGACACACGGAGUACUCUCAGGCAGCGAGGCUGACCGUUGACCCCACUCCUGAUUGCGUCAUUGUUUCUCAUUUAGCCAGCUCUGCUCUAUAUGAAUCUUGACACAAAGUUCAUA